GCCAGACUCCUACGGGAGGCAGCAGUGGGGGAUAUUGCACAAUGGGGGGAACCCUGAUGCAGCGACGCCGCGUGGGUGAAGAAGCGCCUCGGCGCGUAAAGCCCUGUCAGCAGGGAAGAAAAUGACGGUACCUGAAGAAGAAGCCCCGGCUAACUACGUGCCAGCAGCCGCGGUAAUACGUAGGGGGCAAGCGUUAUCCGGAUUUACUGGGUGUAAAGGGGGCGCAGACGGCGAUGCAAGCCAGGAGUGAAAGCCCGCGGCCCAACCGCGGGACUGCAUUGGGAACUGGCGCGCUGGAGUGCCGGAGGGGUAGGCGGAAUUCCUAGUGUAGCGGUGAAAUGCGUAGAUAUUAGGAGGAACACCAGUGGCGAAGGCGGCCUACUGGACGGUGACUGACGCUGAGGCUCGAAAGCGUGGGGAGCAAACAGGAUUAGAUACCCCAGUA
rnacentral:rRNA from 1 species